AAGUCGUAACAAGGUUUCCGCAGGUGAACCUGCGGAAGGAUCAUUCACACGCAUCCUACGUUAAUCCACCCGUGCACUUUCCGCGGUAACACGAUUUUCGCGGCAAUGGAGUUAAUCUUGUUAAAAAACGGAAAUGCCUUUUGCCUUGUGGAGCAAAACAAGCAUCCCCUCGUCGGCAGGACACCCAAUGGCAAAGCACUGAUAGCCCCCGCGGUAGAAUGCUGUGACGUAAGCAGGGCGGAGAAGAGUAUUUUUCUCGGCAAGAUGGCGAAGUUAGUCGAAUUACGUGCUCGCGAGGGUCGGGUCCGCGUUCCCCGUGGUAUUAAUAUAUCCAAAAACCUACGACUCCACAAAACAAUCGCGCCAGCCCCAAUGCUAGGCGUCAACUCGAACAACUGUUAACAAUGGAUAUUUUGGCUCUC
rnacentral:misc_RNA from 1 species